ACAUGCCUACAUCAUAGCAUUAAUGCACCAGAUCCCAUUAGAACUCUGCAAUUAAGUGUUCUCAGGCUAGAGUAGUAUUGGGAUGGGUGACCACCCGGGAAGUCUUAGUGUUUUACAUGGC
rnacentral:rRNA from 1 species